rnacentral:rRNA from 1 species
GAUGAACGCUGGCGGCGUGCCUAACACAUGCAAGUCGAACGGAGAUGUGCUUCGGUAUAUCUUAGUGGCGAACGGGUGAGUAACGCGUGGGUAACCUGCCCUUUUAACGGGGAUAACUUGCCGAAAGGUGAGCUAAUACCGGAUGUCCUAUCUUAAACGCCUGUUUGAGAUAGCAAAGGUGGCCGCGGAAUAUGCUGCGGAAAAAGGAUGGACCCGCGUCUGAUUAGCUAGUUGGUGAGGUAACGGCUCACCAAGGCGACGAUCAGUAGCCGGCCUGAGAGGGUGAACGGCCACACUGGGACUGAGACACGGCCCAGACUCCUACGGGAGGCAGCAGUGGGGAAUCUUCCGCAAUGGACGAAAGUCUGACGGAGCAACGCCGCGUGAGUGACGAAGGUCUUCGGAUUGUAAAACUCUGUUUUUUGGGACGAACGGCUCAUAUGUGAAUAAUGUAUGAGAUUGACGGUACCAAAGGAGGAAGCCCCGGCUAACUACGUGCCAGCCGCCGCCGUAA